rnacentral:rRNA from 1 species
AUUGAACGCUGGCGGCAGGCCUAACACAUGCAAGUCGAACGAGUGGCGGACGGGUGAGUAAUGUCUGGGAAACUGCCCGAUGGAGGGGGAUAACUACUGGAAACGGUAGCUAAUACCGCAUACCAUCGGAUGUGCCCAGAUGGGAUUAGCUUGUAGGUGAGGUAACGGCUCACCUAGGCGACGAUCCCUAGCUGGUCUGAGAGGAUGACCAGCCACACGGGAAAGGAGAACGGGUCCAGACCCCUACGGGAGGCAGCAGGGGGGAAUAUUCCACAAUGGGCGAAAGCCGGAGGCAGCAAGGCCGCGUGGAUGAAGAAGGCCUUGGGGUGGUAAAGUACGUUCAGCGGGGAGGCGUUACCCGCAGAAGAAGCACCGGCUAACUCCGUGCCAGCAGCCGCGGUAAUUC